rnacentral:rRNA from 1 species
AUUGAACGCUGGCGGCAGGCCUAACACAUGCAAGUCGAGCGGUAGAGAGAAGCUUGCUUCUCUUGAGAGCGGCGGACGGGUGAGUAAUGCCUAGGAAUCUGCCUGGUAGUGGGGGAUAACGUUCGGAAACGGACGCUAAUACCGCAUACGUCCUACGGUAGAAAGCAGGGGACCUUCGGGCCUUGCGCUAUCAGAUGAGCCUAGGUCGGAUUAGCUAGUUGGUGGGGUAAUGGCUCACCAAGGCGACGAUCCGUAACUGGUCUGAGAGGAUGAUCAGUCACACUGGAACUGAGACACGGUCCAGACUCCUACGGGAGGCAGCAGUGGGGAAUAUUGGACCAUGGGCGAAAGCCUGAUCCAGCCAUGCCGCGUGUGUGAAGAAGGUCUUCGGAUUGUAAAGCACUUUAAGUUGGGAGGAAGGGCAGUAAAUUAAUACUUUGCUGUUUUGACGUUACCGACAGAAUAAGCACCGGCUAACUCUGUG